GCUUGAUAAGCUACCCAUCACUGGUGGUGUAUGGUAGAGGUUUUAGCUGCUUGCACCAUGGUAUCUGUGUCCCCCUUGCUCUCUUCUGUGAGAGCGGAAAAUGUAGUUUGGUUCAAAUUAAUGAACACAUGUGUAUUCAGUUCACACAUCUUGAAUCAAGGGACAUGCCAGUAAGACAGUUCAGUGGGAAGCAGUGCCUGUGACCAAGCCUGCUUACCCAAGUUACAUCCCUGAGAUCCACAUGGUCCUGUAAUUUGUCCUCUGAUCACCACAUGCAUGGCAUGGUGCACCCCAACCCCAUAUAAAUAAGUAAUAACUGUAAUAAAACCAGUGGAGGAUACAGAAGAGCUCCUGAGGGACACAAUCAGUCUCACCCAGCCAUGUUUGUAUUCACCACAGCAAGUCAACAAAGAUACCUAAAUCUGUUCAUGUGUUGGCACGUCUGCAAAGACAGGAGAAAAGCUCCAGGAGGACAAGAGGAGAAAGCUUUGUGCGACACCAUGUGUAUUGCCGACUUUCUGUCACUAGAGCAAAGACCUGGUAAAAUGGCUGCAGACCAGCAUCAUGUCCGAGCAUCGCUGUGCACAGGGAAUGAUCAGAAUUCAAAAUCUGAAUUAUGAAUAGACCAAGUGCCUGCUAUUUUUCAGAAAUCAUCUCAAACCAUUUACACUGAUGAUCCUUUGUAUAUUAUACUAAUCAUGACAGCCUCUAUCUGUUGGUAUGGAAUGAGUAUAUAUAUUCUCCAAAAUUCUCCAAAUCACACAUCUUCACUGUCGACUUGCAACUUACUGAACUGUGGAAAAUACAGUGUUUCUGUGA